UGUUGGGUAAGUUUAGCCGGUAGAGUAUGAGACGCUGAAUCUCAGUGUUCUAGGUUCGAGUCCUACGUUGGGCAG